UGGCGGCGCGCCUAACACAUGCAAGUCGAACGAGAGAGAGGAAGCUUGCUUCCUCAAUCGAGUGGCGAACGGGUGAGUAACGCGUGAGGAACCUGCCUCAAAGAGGGGGACAACAGUUGGAAACGACUGCUAAUACCGCAUAAGCCCACGGGUCGGCAUCGACCAGAGGGAAAAGGAGCAAUCCGCUUUGAGAUGGCCUCGCGUCCGAUUAGCUGGUUGGUGAGGUAAUGGCCCACCAAGGCGACGAUCGGUAGCCGGACUGAGAGGUUGAACGGCCACAUUGGGACUGAGACACGGCCCAGACUCCUACGGGAGGCAGCAGUGGGGAAUAUUGCACAAUGGGGGAAACCCUGAUGCAGCGACGCCGCGUGGAGGAAGAAGGUCUUCGGAUUGUAAACUCCUGUUGUUGAGGAAGAUAAUGACGGUACUCAACAAGGAAGUGACGGCUAACUACGUGCCAGCAGCCGCGGUAAAACGUAGGUCACAAGCGUUGUCCGGAAUUACUGGGUGUAAAGGGAGCGCAGGCGGGAAGACAAGUUGGAAGUGAAAUCUAUGGGCUCAACCCAUAAACUGCUUUCAAAACUGUUUUUCUUGAGUAGUGCAGAGGUAGGCGGAAUUCCCGGUGUAGCGGUGGAAUGCGUAGAUAUCGGGAGGAACACCAGUGGCGAAGGCGGCCUACUGGGCACCAACUGACGCUGAGGCUCGAAAGUGUGGGUAGCAAACAAGAUUAGAUACCCUGGUAGUCCACACCGU
rnacentral:rRNA from 1 species